GAUGAACGCUGGCGGCGUGCCUAAUACAUGCAAGUCGAGCGAACGGACGAGAAGCUUGCUUCUCUGAUGUUAGCGGCGGACGGGUGAGUAACACGUGGAUAACCUACCUAUAAGACUGGGAUAACUUCGGGAAGCCGUAGCUAAUACCGGAUAAUAUUUUGAACCGCAUGGUUCAAAAGUGAAAGACGGUCUUGCUGUCACUUAUAGAUGGAUCCGCGCUGCAUUAGCUAGUUGGUAAGGUAACGGCUUACCAAGGCAACGAUGCAUAGCCGACCUGAGAGGGUGAUCGGCCACACUGGAACUGAGACACGGUCCAGACUCCUACGGGAGGCAGCAGUAGGGAAUCUUCCGCAAUGGGCGAAAGCCUGACGGAGCAACGCCGCGUGAGUGAUGAAGGUCUUCGGAUCGUAAAACUCUAUUAUUAGGGAAGAACAUAUGUGUAAGUAACUGUGCACAUCUUGACGGUACCUAAUCAGAAAGCCACGGCUAACUACGUG
rnacentral:rRNA from 1 species